AGCGGCGGACGGGUGAGUAAUGCCUAGGAAUCUGCCUAGUAGUGGGGGACAACGUUUCGAAAGGAACGCUAAUACCGCAUACGUCCUACGGGAGAAAGUGGGGGAUCUUCGGACCUCACGCUAUUAGAUGAGCCUAGGUCGGAUUAGCUAGUUGGUAGGGUAAAGGCCUACCAAGGCGACGAUCCGUAACUGGUCUGAGAGGAUGAUCAGUCACACUGGAACUGAGACACGGUCCAGACUCCUACGGGAGGCAGCAGUGGGGAAUAUUGGACAAUGGGCGAAAGCCUGAUCCAGCCAUGCCGCGUGUGUGAAGAAGGCCUUCGGGUCGUAAAGCACUUUAAGUUGGGAGGAAGGGCUCAUAGCGAAUACCUGUGAGUUUUGACGUUACCAACAGAAUAAGCACCGGCUAACUUCGUGCCAGCAGCCGCGGUAAUACGAAGGGUGCAAGCGUUAAUCGGAAUUACUGGGCGUAAAGCGCGCGUAGGUGGCUUGAUAAGUUGGAUGUGAAAUCCCCGGGCUCAACCUGGGAACUGCAUCCAAAACUGUCUGGCUAGAGUGCGGUA
rnacentral:rRNA from 1 species